AGUGAACGCUGGCGGUAGGCCUAACACAUGCAAGUCGAACGGCAGCACAGUAAGAGCUUGCUCUUACGGGUGGCGAGUGGCGGACGGGUGAGGAAUACAUCGGAAUCUACUUUUUCGUGGGGGAUAACGUAGGGAAACUUACGCUAAUACCGCAUACGACCUACGGGUGAAAGCAGGGGAUCUUCGGACCUUGCGCGAUUGAAUGAGCCGAUGUCGGAUUAGCUAGUUGGCGGGGUAAAGGCCCACCAAGGCGACGAUCCGUUGCUGGUCUGAGAGGAUGAUCAGCCACACUGGAACUGAGACACGGUCCAGACCCCUACGGGAGGCAGCAGUGGGGAAUAUUGGACAAUGGGCGCAAGCCUGAUCCAGCCAUACCGCGUGGGUGAAGAAGGCCUUCGGGUUGUAAAGCCCUUUUGUUGGGAAAGAAAAGCAGCAGGUUAAUACCCCGCUGUUCUGACGGUACCCAAAGAAUAAGCACCGGCUAACUUCGUG
rnacentral:rRNA from 1 species